GGCCGAUUGGUUGACAGCCGGCUGCCUUGCCUUAAGAAGCAGGGCGUCUGAUGUCAAGCCGCCUCUCCCUCUGCCGACUGCCUGCCUGCCUGCCUG
rnacentral:lncRNA from 1 species